GCGGACACAUCCCGGCCAAUCUCCAGCAGACCCUUUCACUUCCAGACCCUCCCACCUCCUGGCCAGCAUCCAUGUUGAAGCUGCCUUCAACAUGGAUGCUGGCCAGGAGGUGGGAGGGUCUGGGAGGGAGGGUCUGCUGGAGAUUGGCCGGGAUGUGUCAG